AAAUAAAUAUCCCGCUAGUUAUUAACCUGUCUUCCAUCAUCUGAAGGCAGAUUUUUCAUCUGGACUUUGUGAAGCUGCCUAAAAUGAGCUCCAAAGGCUCCGUGGGCUGGGGAGAAGGUGGUUCUUUGCAGAAGAAGUUUUGGGGUCAAUACUAACUCAUUCAUAUCUUGAUUGAAUUAGCAUUGACUAAGGAGGUGAUAAAAAAUAAAGACUUUCUCUUACAGCCAUAAUUCAGACUAUGACACUCACUGUGAUUUGGAUAGAAAGCUUUGUUUUUGUAGUAAAUUCUCCUCUGUAAGAACCCAUCAUUCAACCAGGAAAACACUUACUUAGAGUUCUAACUUCAGCCCAUGGUCUGAGCUUAAAACAGAUAAUUUCUGUACUACAAAUUUGAUUUUAUCUGCCACAAGUACAGACCCCUCUUAAGUCCUUACUAUGAAUUCUGUCUCACAAUGCCUGCCAGUAAAGCCAACAUGGUGGGGUUCUGAAUAUCACAUUUUUAUCCAGGACGUAUAUUAGGACUGUACAAUGUGAAAUGUUGAUGCCACUGUGUGAUAAUAUUUGAUCAGUAUGGAUUUCUCUUUUCCUUUUAUGGUGCAUGGAUUGUGUGAAAUGGAAUAGAACUCAGCAGCAGGAGCCUGACAUGCCAGAAAUCACAGCCAGAGGGAAUUGUGCUGUUUCCACCCAGCAAAGCCAAGAUCCAAGAGGGAACAAAAGGAGUGGUAACUCAGCUGUGGCCCCACUGGGAGGAAUGGACUAACUUGGAGAGCAUUGAAUAGUGCUUGCCUCAUUAGCAAUGCCUUACUGCACAGCCUCCUCCAUUCUACUCAUGGUCUGCUCUGGUUGUGUUGGGAUGGCAGAUUUUCCAUGUAACUUGUUGAUGGAAUAGGGAAAGAGGGUCCCUAUUGAUAAUUUGAGUGCAGGUGUAAUGAGAUUAACAGUGGUGGACAGCUGGGGUGGAAAGCCAGGUACAAUUAUUUUCCAUUAGCCAAGCACACCUCUUCCCUGAUGAGAGGAGCUGUUGCCAGAUCCAAGGAAAACACAUCUGUCCUCUCCAUCCAGGUAGUUUGUAAUGUGCUCUGGGAUUUUCUGAGGUGAGAAGAAUGUUUGUCACUGCUGCUCAGCUGAGAAAUGUUUUAGGAAGCAAUUACCAUCUGCCUACUGUCUGAAGAGGGAGAAAACCAAAUAAGUUCUGGCAAUAAUGUGAUGACCACAAUUUCAGGUCACAAGUUUUCAAUCAAACCUUGAUUCAGAUGAGGAAACCAUGAGGGACCAUUUAACAUGGCAGUAACUGUAAUUACAGUGUCUUCAAUAUUUGACUGAAGCCAAUGGUUGUUCUACUUUCGUCUUGUAGCAUCAUCAUCACCAAUCUCUGCUCCCUCAGCUUUCCUGCAGUGAAGAUCCUUUGUCCUCAGUGACUCAUGGAUGGAUCAAUGUUCUAAGGGACAGAAGUUUUGCUCUUGUGAUUUAUCCCUGCUAGACCAGUGCCAAUCACUGCAGUCUCAAGGCUCCUUCUGCAAGGACAAAAGACUCGGCCUUUGGUCUCAUAAAUACAUUUUGCUCACUGGAACUAGGUUAUUAUCCCAUAAAACCUUUCAUCCUGUUAAUGAAGAGAGCAUGAAGCAUGUCAAAUAGACAGUAAUUGAUAUAAGCUGAAUACUGCAGCCUGGCCUGAUAGGGAAUGUUCCAGCCUACUUUAUUUUCAGAACUAUCAUCCUAACAAAUAUUUAUGGUUAGGUGGGAUUUUCCUACCAUUUCUAAGGCUGAGAAGUAGGUGGUUGGUACAAUCCUACCCAUUUGUUUUCAAAUAAUUAUUCAUUGUGGGAUAGCUUUCUCAAAGGGAUGUAGAAACAUUCUUUGCUCAGGACUAUAGAGAAAGCCAAGAAAACAAUAGCAUAUUUGUUUUUGCCUGUCUCAUUUAUUGCUUACAGUUUGACUGUGCUUUUAGGAAGACAAGGUGAAUUUAAAUGUAAAGGAGCAGAGAAAUCCACUGAGAGGAAGGUAAAAGAAUCUGAAGCCAUUACAGGCAAGUGGCAUAACUGAUGGUAGGAAUCUGAAGAGCAAGUGCACCUGGGGUUUAAUGACAUCUUCUCUUAUUUCGGGAUAGUCAUUUUCAGUUGCCAACACUUGAGUGUGGCUGGGACAGGGUACAACAAUGCAGCCUGCUGCCUCUGCUUAUCAGGAGAGACAAAUUCCAAAGGCUCAACAUUGAGGGCUCAGAGUGGACCCAGCAAGCCUGACCUUACAGGUUGUUUUUCACUGAGAUCUAGUCUGUGCAGAAAAGUUUGAGUGGUGUGUGCUCAUCUGAACUUCUUCCAUGUGUUGAAAAACUAAAGAAAUGCUUUUUGACAAGGGGAUGGAAAAAGCCAAAUGAUUCUCCAAGUUUCUAAUUUAGAGUCCUAUGACAAGCACCCACUGCCACUCUCCACUACACUGCUCAUCCUUUAUCCAGCAGUACCUACUUACACAUUGCAGGAAAGUUAUUCCUACAAGCCUGACUGUGGGAUCAGACUGACACACCAUUAAAAUGGGUGUAGUUAUGGUACUUUACUCUUGCAGGAUGUCUGUUCCCCUGACCUGAGCUGUUUAGAUGCUUCAAGGUUAAUACCAGUGAUUUCUCUGGAGUGGAAAAGUACAACAGCAACAAUAUCAGAACUAUUCCAAGUGACAAAGAGCUGUGGUUUAUUGCAAAACUUUCUGCAGCAAAUCAUAAAACUCAAGUGAAGAAAUGCUUUCUCAGGCAGUGGGAUAAGCUGCAACAGAUUUGAGGACUUGGUGUGAGCUGAAAAAUGAAGAAAAAGAGCUGAACCAACCAGAACUUAACAAAUCCACCUUAUGAUAAUGAAUACCUGCUCUCUUACUUCUCAGAGGAAUCAGUCCAAUUUUUCCAGCCUGAGGGACAAAAAACCCACCAGUCCAAUUGACUGUUAGUGUGGAUUGGCUGAAAAUGCUAAGAAAGAAAAAUUGUCUGAGUGUCCAAGUGAGAGCAAGAGCAGUUCUCAUUCUGCAUCUUAAUGGCAGUAUAAAAUGACCAGCACUUCUGCAGCAGAUUACAGGGUCACAUCUCCAUUACCAUGGGGUAUGCAGAAGGCAGAAUACCUCUUGGUCUCCUCUGAGCUCAUCCAGAACCAACAACUCUCGGGCUGACAUGUGCAGAUGGAUCCCUGGAGCAUCUGUAGGACACAUUUAUGAGUAAUUACCUAUCAUCUGGAAGGUUACAGAGCAGCAGCAUAAGUGUGUGACCUGCCUUCUGCAUUUAUAUCUAACUCAAGACUAAGAAACAUCUCUAGCAGAUGGGAAAACUCCAGACUCUCAAAGUUACUCCAAGAUGGAUUAUUUACCAUCUAGCACCUAUCAGAGCAAUGAGAGCUUAUCCAACACAGAUUCUCUUAUGUCUGAUUAUUCUUCCUUCUUUAUUUCAUCAGGAUCCCAAUCAGGAUUGAUCAAAAUACUGAAUGAGAAACUGGUCAAUAUAAGGGAUUUUUUUUGACCUAUUUUAUGACCUUGUUUCUUGAUCAGUUUAUGCCAAAACCUUUCAGCCACUGGGUUGUCCAAUGCUGCUGUCACCCUGUUUAUUUGCUGUUCACAGUGCAGGACUGUCCCACACAAGGUAGAAAAGUGGCACCAUUUCUCUCUGUCCUGCAGGACAGUGCUGUGAAGAUGACAGUCUUUCCAUAGGAUCCGUGGGGACCCUCUCCACUAACCUCACCAGGAGCUGCACAAAUGCUGGUAACACAACCCAACCCAUUUACUUUUCUAUCUAUGAUACUCUUUUAUACGCCGCUCUGGCAGAGCCUGAAAAUUCAAGUUUAACUUUAGCUUCUGCUGGAUAUGGAGAUUCAAUCUGGAUGUUUAUCUGAAAUGUCCUUUAGUGUGGAAACCACAGAAAAAUUUAUGUAACAAGAUCCAUGAGUUUAUGUUGUUUCAUGGGACUUCUCUAGACCUACACUUCUUGUUUGCUGUUUGCUUAUCCCAACUGCAAUGAAGUCAUCCAGAUGGAAAUCACCUGUUUGGCUCUCUGUGUACAAAACUCCUUUCGGGGAGUUUCCAUCUGUCAGUCUG